AGAGUUUGAUCCUGGCUCAGAUUGAACGCUGGCGGCAUGCCUUACACAUGCAAGUCGAACGGCAGCACGGGAGCAAUCCUGGUGGCGAGUGGCGAACGGGUGAGUAAAGUAUCGGAACGUGCCCAGUCGUGGGGGAUAACGUAGCGAAAGUUACGCUAAUACCGCAUACGAUCUAUGGAUGAAAGCGGGGGAUCGCAAGACCUCGCGCGAUUGGAGCGGCCGAUAUCAGAUUAGGUAGUUGGUGGGGUAAAGGCUCACCAAGCCGACGAUCUGUAGCUGGUCUGAGAGGACGACCAGCCACACUGGGACUGAGACACGGCCCAGACUCCUACGGGAGGCAGCAGUGGGGAAUUUUGGACAAUGGGCGCAAGCCUGAUCCAGCCAUGCCGCGUGCAGGAUGAAGGCCUUCGGGUUGUAAACUGCUUUUGUACGGAACGAAACGGUCUGCCCUAAUACGGCGGGCUAAUGACGGUACCGUAAGAAUAAGCACCGGCUAACUACGUGCCAGCCGCCGCGGUAAUAC
rnacentral:rRNA from 1 species